rnacentral:ribozyme from 1 species
AGAUGAAAGGAGAGGUCACAUGCAACAUUCAUUUCAGCAAACCUUUUUUCUUUUUUCGUUUUUUGUUUUCCAAUUUCCUUUUUCCAAUUGAUUAAACAAUUUAUAAAAG